GCCUUCAUGGUGUAGUGGUCAGCACACUCGGCGCGUAAUCGAGAGGUCCGUGGUUCGAGUCCUGAUGAAGGCA
rnacentral:tRNA from 1 species